CAGACAUCUGUUAGUUUUUGUCUGUGUGUCUUGGGUUUCUGUUUUGUCUUAUUGUGAUUUUGACGAUGGGACCGACAGUAACCACCCCCCUCAAUCUGACUUUUGACCACUGGAGGGAUGUUAAGGACCAUAUUUCUGUGAAGUCUGGAGGAUCGGAACAGGCUGUGUGACUGGCUAGUUAAGCAGGUUUGUUAUCUGAUCUGUUGCAAUCCACACCCUGCCCGCCUGCUUUUCGGUGCUAUGUCAGUUUUGUAUUUUCAUGUCUGCUGUUUUUGUUAAUUGUGUAAAUGUAAAGGUCCUAUGUUGGGUUCACUAGCGAAGUCUUUUCUUGCUGCCCUGAGCACAUGGCGUGUGGAACAGGAGUUCCUCUGCCAUGUGCCAUGGAUUAGAAUGUGCUGCGGUGGAGUCCUCUGUCUCCCAGCACAUGGUAAGGCUGCUGCUCUGGACUCCAACCACUGCUGCGGCCCUCACAGCUGAGCCUGGCCGGUGCAGUUUAUAAGAUCAGACAGACUGCCAGAUCCUGACAGUGAACCAAAGUCUCCAAAGAAGAUUAUGAGGCACCCCAGUUCCUGCACCUGGAUAAUGAUGACGCCAACCAGUGAGCAAGAUGCUCAAAUGUGACACCUACUGCCUGCCAGGACCUGGCCAAGAAUGUGGACAAAGCUGCUGGACACUGGAAAAUUAAUUGCACCCCCUUUGCCUAGACAAAACAAGACACAUCUAAGUAUCAGUUGCUGAAUACAGGCUGUUCCUAAAGAACUUCGAGCCCUGGACUUGCUGUGGAUGUGAACCAGUCCAGCUGAUGUGGACACCUCCGUCUCUGCAACAGAGUCUGCCAACCAGAAGCUCCUGAUGGAUUCCCCAUUACCUAAAUUCCCUUUUUGCUUUUGACUAGCAUUUCAGCCUUCUUGGGUCCCUAACUUCGUCCCAAAGUCAGCAGAAGUAGCAUGGGAAUGAAUACAUCGCCUGUUUUCCAUGGUUGAUAUGCUAAGUCAGAAGGAACUCCCUUACAUAGGGGAUGCCAAUAUCUCUCACUCCCUGAUGGGGACGCUGGAGAGACAGCAAUUCCAUGAUUGCAAUCUCCAAAAAGAAAAUGGGGGAAGGAAGGGACCAGCUCCCCAUUUCAGCAGCCAUAACAGCCUAGAACGUGCUUGCCUGACCUUGCCUUGGUCCCUAGAAGGUCAGAUGCCUGCCUCGUGGCAAGGAAUCAAUCAGAAGUUAGCUGGUGGCGCUAUGCUUUACGGCUUUGGGUGUGCUUUACAGACAAGUGCACAGCAAUGACUUGCAGACCAUAGCAACCAUCCUGGGAGGGUCUAUGGGCCAUAACAACCAGUUGAUCAAUCAACACAGGGCAAGCCCUCCAAGCCUGGAGGCACACCAAUAGUGAGCCUGUGCGUACCCCUAGACACUCCCCUUACGCUGCCCUAUAAGAUCUCUAUGCUGUGGCUUCACAGCAUCUUUCCCAGCUGUCUGCCAUGGUGGAUAGAUGAAAGGCCCAAGCUAACAUGGGGUUAGCUUGUUAAACAAAUGCA
rnacentral:lncRNA from 1 species